rnacentral:rRNA from 1 species
AUGCAAGGCCCUAACACCAGUACCAAGUCCUUCAAGCACGAGUUCCUCAAGAAGCUCCUCUUGGGCCUCCAGCUCCAGGCACGCACGAGGAAAUCUUUCGGCAGCGGUGCCAUGAGCCUCCACGAGAGGAAGGUCGCCGUCAAGUUCUCCGCCAACGUCGCCAUGGCGGCCGCGCGCUGUGCCACCCACACCGAGGCAAGGUGGCCCAGUGCCAUCUUAGCCUCCGAUGCGGGCGCCUUACCAUCAUCCGGCGCUUGCAAGGUGCAGAGGUGCAGGAGGAUCGUGGUCACGUGCUGCCGCCGGAAGAGGAGCUGGAUUAGAUCAGGUCGCGCUGGUGGUGGCGCUGUUGCCAGGAGGCUGCUGAGGACGAGAACUAUGGCGCUGAGGGAGCUGAUACCGGGAGGCCGGGACGCCACCGUCGACGAGGUCACUCUGUUACGCGAGGCCAUGGACUACACGGUGCACCUGCGCGCUCAGGUCGACGUGCUCCGCCGGCUAUCGGAAGCCGUGCAAAGAUCCAGCUCCAGCUCCCAGCAGGGCAAGGCGCCUUUUAUUGACACCACAUGGAUGCCGGAUACUCUCAUAUUUAAGAAACAGCCAAACGCAUGCACCAAGUCCUUGAAGCAGGCCUUGCUCAAGAACCUCCUCCUUGGCCUCCAGCUCCAAGCACACACCAGCACAACCUUCGGUGGAGCCACGAGCCUCCGCGAGAGGAAGCGCGCCAUCAAGUCCUCCGUGGACGUCGCCAUGGCAGCUGCGCACGGCGGCGUUGCGAGGUGGCCCAUCUUGGCUCCGACAUCCAGUUCGUGCAAGGUGCAGAGGUGUAGGAGGAUCAUGAGGAGGAGCUACCACCGGAAGAGGAGCUGGGGGAGAUCAGGCCGCGCCGGUGGUGACGACGCUGCAGGGAGGCUGGCGAGGAGCAGGACCAUGGCGCUGAGGGAGAUGAUACCGGGAGGCCAGGACUCCACCGUCGACGAGGCCACUCUGUUACGCGAGGCCAUGGAUUACGCCGUACACCUGCGUGCUCAGGUCAACGUGCUUCGCCGGCUCUCGGAAGCCGUGCAAAUAUGUAGCUCCAGUGAUUGA